rnacentral:lncRNA from 1 species
GUAAUAUAAUAAACUAACUGACUAAGCUAUGUGGUUUAGAACUCUCCUAUAUAUAGGCAGAGGCGGCAUUGAGCAGGAGCAAGGUGAGCAAUAGAUCAGGGCCCCUCCGUUUCAUGCAGCUGGCACUGUUCCAUCCAUGCAGCUGGCAGAGGACGCUUUCCUUGCGUACCAUGGCUAGUACCAGACUUGGCCACGCUUAGAGCACCUCCACCACUCCACCCAAACCUUGGCAACAGCCCCCCAAGCCUAGUUUCCCCCCUCCGUCGUGCAGCCUGAAGUCCGGGCAAGCCUUGGGGUCCACUAGCCCGG